UCAGAAUUCUCAGUCUUUGAAAACGUUUCACCCAUUAUAGUUAAUUUGGGCCUGUUCCCUUUAUGUUAAAAAAAAUUUCUCGUUCGAACACUUGUGGAUGGCUCUCCUCACCAAGUCACCCAUCUGCCAAAGCAGACCCGGGACAGCUCUUACCUUUGUGGUGGCAAAGACGUCUUCUACAGGCAGCUCCAUGCACAAGUUCUUGGCCCAGGCAGGAACGAGAGAGCAAGAGACAGAGUUACCUCCAACUGCACAGGGUAAGCCUUGCUGAGCAGCUCUGACUCCCUCAAACUGAGAAAACUUCCUGUGGUCCCUCAGGGUGAAAAAAGUGCCAGGAGAAAAGUCUCUACACUGCUCCCCAUCCUAUCACCAACCACCAACUACCAACUCUCUAGAAGCUGUUAUGUUCUUUUCACAGUCUAAGAAAUAUGCACAGCAUCACCAGAACAUCUGGAGAGAUGGUACCAGAUAGCUUACCUUUCUUGCUGUGAGGAUGUUCAGCGUUUUGAUGAUCUCUUGUAAGGUUGUCAGUCAUGUGGGACCAAUCAGCGCCUCUCUUCCAGGAGAAAAAAUGCCUCACAAAAACAGGGGUUUGGAGGUUACCUCCCAAGAGCCAGGACAAAGAUCAGACCUCUCUGGGUAAGUUAAUUCUUU